rnacentral:rRNA from 1 species
UACGUAGGUGGCAAGCGUUGUCCGGAAUUAUUGGGCGUAAAGCGCGCGCAGGCGGUCUUUUAAGUCUGAUGUGAAAGCCCACGGCUUAACCGUGGAGGGUCAUUGGAAACUGGAGGACUUGAGUACAGAAGAGGAGAGUGGAAUUCCACGUGUAGCGGUGAAAUGCGUAGAGAUGUGGAGGAACACCAGUGGCGAAGGCGACUCUCUGGUCUGUAACUGACGCUGAGGCGCGAAAGCGUGGGUAGCGAACAGG